rnacentral:rRNA from 1 species
UGGGGAAUAUUCCACAAUGGGCGCAAGCCUGAUGCAGCCAUGCCGCGUGUGUGAAGAAGGCCUUCGGGUUGUAAAGCACUUUCAGCGGGGAGGAAGGCGAUAAGGUUAAUAACCUUGUCGAUUGACGUUACCCGCAGAAGAAGCACCGGCUAACUCCGUGCCAGCAGCCGCGGUAAUACGGAGGGUGCAAGCGUUAAUCGGAAUUACUGGGCGUAAAGCGCACGCAGGCGGUCUGUCAAGUCGGAUGUGAAAUCCCCGGGCUUAACCUGGGAACUGCAUUCGAAACUGGCAGGCUAGAGUCUUGUAGAGGGGGGUAGAAUUCCAGGUGUAGCGGUGAAAUGCGUAGAGAUCUGGAGGAAUACCGGUGGCGAAGGCGGCCCCCUGGACAAAGACUGACGCUCAGGUGCGAAAGCGUGGGGAGCAAACAGG